GACGAACGCUGGCGGCGUGCUUAACACAUGCAAGUCACGGGGGCUCGCAAGAGCAACCGGCGAACGGGUGCGUAACACGUGAGCAACCUGCCGAUCUGUGGGGGAUAGCCGGGCUAACGCCCGGGUAAUACCGCAUACGGUUCCCGCGAGGAGUCUCGCGGGAAAGAAACCUCCGGGGCAGAUCGAGGGGCUCGCGGCCUAUCAGCUAGUUGGGGGGUAGUAGCCGACCAA
rnacentral:rRNA from 1 species